UGUAAAGUUCAAGCUCCGAUUUGUGAGGGCGAAACCGCGAAUGGCUCAUUAAAUCAGUCAUAAUCUACUUGAUUGUUGAAAGUUAUAUGGAUAACUGUGGUAAUUCUAGAGCUAAUACAUGUUGAAAUUGGGCGACUUUGUGUAAAAGCAAAGAAGCCUUGCGUUUAUUAGACUAAGACUAACGGGUCGCUCCCUUUACUGGGGGCGACUCUGAAAAGUUAAGGUGACUCUGAGUAAAUAAUGGGUGAAAGCCCAUGUAGCCGACCUGUUAUUUAAUUGCCGCAAGGCAAGACAGGCGGGUCAAUCGAGUGUCUGCUCUAUCAACUGUGGAUGGUAGGAUAAUUGCCUACCAUGGUGGUGACGGGUAACGGGGAGUUAGGGCUCGACUCCGGAGAACAAGCCUGAGAAACGGCUAGUAGGACUAAGGUCUGCAGCAGGCGCGAAACUUACACAAUGCUAGAUUAAAAGUAAAUAGCGAUGUAGUGAAGAAAAAUAACGAUGUACUUUUAUUUAAACAUACUAGUACAAUUGGAAUGAGACGACUAUAAAUGAGUUAGUCGAGUAACAAAUGGAGGGCAAGUCUGGUGCCAGCAGCCGCGGUAAUUCCAGCUCCAUUAGCAUACAUUAAAGUUGUUGCGGUUAAAAAGCUCGUAGUUGAAUUUUAGGCGAGCUCUUGGGUGGCUGUUCCGUCAAGGUUGGGGUUUUAUUUUAACUAAUUGCCUCAGCUGGUUCAGCUUCACCUUUAGGAGUUUGCUGUUUCGUCACUUAAUCGAGUGCGAAGCGGGGUGAAGUGUAAAACAAAUUUCAAUUUGUUUAUGCUCCACCAUGUUUACCUUGAGAAAAUUAGAGUGCUCACAGCAGGCAGUUGGGGUGUAAAAGCUCCUUUAAUGCUUGAAUAAUGUUGCAUGGAAUAAUAGAAUACGGCCUCGGUUCUAUUCUGUUGGUCUUAUAGAACAACAAACAAGUUGGUUUUUAGCGUUUAAGAGUAUAAAUUUAAAAUUGGUGUUAAAGGCUAUACAAUUGUUGCUUGUUGGGUUGGAUCAUUGAUCCAAGUUCCAUCAACGAUUUUUAGUUAUCAAUUUUAAUUUUACUUAGCUAUAUCGAUCAACUGAGGCAAUGGUUAAAAGAAAUAGUCGCGGCGGCAUCAGUACUGCAUCGUGAGAGGUGAAAUUCUUAGACCGAUGCAAGACUAACUGAAGCGAAAGCGUUUGCCGAGGAUAUUUUCAUUAAUCAAGAACGAAAGUUAGAGGUUCGAAGGCGAUCAGAUACCGCCCUAGUUCUAACCAUAAACGUUGCCAACUAGCAAUUGGGUUGCGAUUCCUUUAGUUUUAAUAAGAAAUGUAAAAGUUUUUUAUUAAAAACCAUUAUGAUCCACCCAGCGGCUCUCGUAGGGAAACCAAAGUGUUUGGGUUCCGGGGGAAGUAUGAUUGCAAAGUUGAAACUUAAAGGAAUUGACGGAAGGGCACCACCAGGAGUGGAGCCUGCGGCUUAAUUUGACUCAACACGGGGAAACUUACUAGAUUAAAACUCUGGAAUGAUUGACAGAUUGAUAGCUCUUUCUUGAUUCAGAGGAUGGUGGUGCAUGGCCGUUCUUGAUUCGUAUUCCGAAACGUCUGCUUAAUUGCGAUAACGAGUGAGACCUCACCCAACUAACUAGUCGUUUGGUGCGCUGUUGGAACGCAAAAGUUUGUUUAUUAGUAGGUUUAGCUUGUUAGAGGGUAAAAGCUUUAGCAGUUAAGCUCUAAUUUAUAAAUGUUCUCUGCUCGCCAGCGGACUUCUUAGAGGGAUAAACGGUGUUUUAGCCGUAAGAAACGAGGCAAUAACAGGUCUGUGAUGCCCUUAGAUAUUCUAGGCCGCACGCGUGCUACAAUGGCGUGUGCAGAAAGCUUGUUUUAGGUUUGUCCAUUGAAAACUAGCCGUUUUAGUUGACAGGUUGAGCAAUUGACUUGUUGGCUUGGCGGAAAAGUAACUUUGGAGCCAAGCUUAGAGAAACCGUAGUCGAAAGAUUACGGCAAUCAAAAAUACACGCCGUGAUUUGGGAUUGGGGAUUGCAAUUGUUGCCCAUGAACGAGGAAUUCCCAGUAAGCGCGAUUCAUCAUAUCGCGUUGAUUACGUCCCUGCCCUUUGUACACACCGCCCGUCGCUACUACCGAUUGGAAGUUUUAGUGAGGCAUUUGGACCUGCUAUCCUAUCAAAGGGGCAACUCUUUUUGGAUUGCGGGGAAGUCUGUCGAACUCAAAUUUCUAGAGGAAGUAAAAGUCGUAACAAGGUUUCCGU
rnacentral:rRNA from 1 species